ncrna:unclassified sequences lysM-TM7 RNA
UUCCUCGCUUUUGAAACUUAGAACUUUAUAACUAAUAUUUAAUACAAUUAAAAUUUUUGGUCGAAAAUGUUCGUUCCUUUUAAGGAGUUUUAGAUGCGAUGUUUUUCUUGCAGUAAUGCAAGAAGAGGAG